rnacentral:misc_RNA from 1 species
UUUGGAUGGAAAAAUAACUUUUCCAUUAACAUCUUACCAUCCCCAGAAAAGAAAAGAAAAAUGUCAAGAAUGUCGAGACUGAUUUUAAAAUCUGGAAUGCAUAGAUGAUUACCCCUUGCUUGACAAUGGUUACAUUGGGGAGGCAAUAUGCAAUUGCAAAAAACAAUUAUCCUGAUGAUCUCCAGAUCCUUCCCUCCAGAGAAACAACCAUGACAGAGACGUCAUCAUGAUAUUUACGCCGAUCUCCAUUAGGAAUGUCAAGCAGUUCGUGAAAAUCCAUUCCAUUCUUUUUGGCAGCACGGAAGAGAAGCUCUGCAAUGAGAUAUUGCGCAGGAUCACCUUCAGGUACAUUUUCCAUGAACCACGUGACAUGGGCAACUACAUCUUCAUUGCUGAAGUACUGGUAAAGCCCAUCAGAGGAAAGAACCAAGAAUCGAUCACUUGAGGAAAGUCGAUGGUGAACGACAGAAGGAAUGCAGCUAACAUA